AAUGAUAUAAAACAGAAAUUGUUGUUCAUCUAUUAUCACCUUAUGAAACGAAAGAACCUUUUCGGACAACCUAAUAACAAAAUAACUAGAAACUAAAAGCAGAGAAGAGUAUCUAAUUUAUAUUAAAUAUAUGAGUGUAUAUCCGUGGAUUAAAUAAAUUUUUGGUGACUUUGUGGAUUAUGGAUAUUCAAAGUUGCGACGCAUAAUUUUACUGCGAAAUAUUAAUUAUAUUGUAUCUGUAAACAUUCAACAAAUAGGAUUUAGUAUAUUCGUAUUGUGUGAACGUAUCGUAUGUAUAUAUUCAUUGGCCCAAGAAAAUGGAUUUAGUUUGCACAUAUAGGCGUGGUUGAUGAGAUUGAAAGAAUUAAUUUCAACGAUAUGUUCGUCAACAGUACGCUACAUUUCUUUAUUGUUGAGGUUGAGGUUGACUGAUUGAAAAACGAGUGGAUGAAUUUGUAAUAGAAAAGAAAAUGGAUUUAGUUUGCACAUAUAGGCGUGGUUGAUGAGAUUGGAAGAGUUAAUUUCAACGAUAUGUUCGUCAACAGUACGCUACAUUUUUUUAUUGUUGAGGUUGAGGUUGACUGAUUGAAAAACAAGUGAAUGAAUUUGUAAUAGAAAAGUAUAUUGAAAUAACUAAAGGUAUAAGCAUAAGUUUAUGCUGAUUCAGAUCCUUACUCUCUUACUAGACAAUGGAAUCGAUCGUUUAUAUAUUUGUAACAAAAGGACAUUACCAAAAAAGUUAACCAUAUAGCUUUAGCUAAAGGCUACAGAGAACAUAAAUAGAAAUCUGUUUAUUAGUUCCUUUGUUUCUAGACCUUGCAACCCAAAACAUAAUGUAUAUUCAAGGGUACGAUAAUAUGCACCUCUCCUUAUUUAGAAUAUUUCUGCGUAAUAGCAGUCUGCAGGUCACGGAUGUCCAUAAAUAAAGAUGUAGAGUUUUUCUUGAAGUAGUUACUUCAACAUUUAUGAUGCAAAAAAUGAAGUCUACUGAGGGAAUAUGAAACGAAUGUUCGCUGAAAGUUGGGAAAAUAACCGUGCCGAUGAAGUGUGGAAUUCAAGGAAUGCAAUAAGAAUCGAAAGCAACUGAUCAUAAAUCACUGUUUCGUACGAACGUGUAAUCUGCUAGAACUUCAACGAGAUUACACAGGGGGCUAAUAAAUGACGACUUAAAAAACACUCGAUUUGUUUCCUUAAUUUAAGUUAGAAAUCAGAAAAUUGCAAGAAAUUCCUGUUAAAUUUAUUUUAGAAAGUUCUCUAUCAUUGAGCACAGAAAAAUUACGAACCAUGGAAACAAAAACUUCGUAUCUUUAAAUGGAAAUAAUAAGAACAACUGAUCUGAUAACUGUACUGGCCAUCCAUUAACAGUUAACAUAUUAGAAAGAGGGUUGGCCAUUAAACACAGUAGUCAAAGAGAAAUAUCCAGAGUUUUGUAAUAAAACAAUAUUAGAUUAAAAAGUAUAUCAAUCUUCAAUCAUCAGUUGGCACGUAAUAAUCUAUACUAUCUAAAAUAUAUUCAAUCUUAGUUGGUACAUUCUAUUCCAUCUAAUACCAUCGCCCGGAUAUCGUUUAUCUUGAUACUCUUAAUGUUACAAAACUAAAUGAGAAACCGAAUGAACGCUGGUAACCUGUAAAUUGAAAGAAUUCAUUCUUUUUUUUAAAAAAAUACAAAUUAUAGCGUUACUUAAAUUAUAAUAAAACGUCGUAAAGAAUUGUAACUGAUUUCACAAAUAUAGCUCUCGAACAUUUCUUACAUUUUACUGCGAAACUUUCGAACAGAUAUUUUGUAUUGAAUUCAAUUGUGAAUUAAAAGCAUACGAAACCACCGUUCGAUCGGCGAAGAACCACUGGCAAUAUCGAAUUUGAUUUUGGUACACAAAACGUACAAGUACCCAUAGAAAUCCAUCAAAUGUAAAAUCAGCCGGUUGCAUCAUACCGCCUCCGCCGCUGGUGCAGCAGGAGGAAAAAAUUCUUUUAAAACUAGUCAUAGCGCAUACAUAUCCCGCAGAAACGAUCGUCCGUUCGAUGUGUAGAAGAUAUCGAUGAUGCAACGAUGCAUUUCCAAGGUAUCUCAACCGAGGACGCCAUUACUGUAAAAUCGAAAAUACCCGGUUCGUCGUAAAAUUCAAAUAAGCGUUCCCGGUCGAAAGUGGUUCGGUUGCGUGGUAAAACGUAGCAUUUAUUUCGAUAAAAUCGCGAAACGAGCGACCGGAAACCAUCGGGUGUUAAUAACCUUGGCCUGUGAAAUCGAGCUGCUGAAAAAUUUACUUGCAACGUGUGUUUGUUACAAAGAUAGAGUUUAACGCUUCGAGCGUGCCAGCUAGAAAUAAGCUGCGAUCCAAGUUCCACGGGAAUGGUUUAAUAUCAAUCUAUUCUUGACUACAAUACUUCUUUCCAUGAGAUACUUGCUACGUGUUUAGUGUUUCUAGUCAACUGGUUUGGAAUUUGUAAUAUAGGGUCAUGAUCUUCUUUCCUUUUUCUUGUUUUUUCUUGUUUUUAAUUAAUUAUUUGCAGUCGUAUCAUUCGCUAUAGUGACGACUCACAUUCACAUUGGCGACUCACAAUCAGCCGAAAUCAUCGGUUGAAUUUCUAUAUUUGGAAGGAAGUGGUUUGUUUGAGAUUACUAACGACUUUAACAAUUGUAGGAUUUUAUAUGGAUUUUUAUAGUUAGGAGAAAAAUGAAUAUUAAAGUGUAAUCUAGCAGUAGAAAAUUUGUUAUAAUGUAAAAUGAGAUACGGUCCAUGGUUUUCUAUUAAGAAAUGGAUUAAAAUUAAAUUAAAUUGCCUUUAGAGGGAAUUUGAAGAUCUAUUUUCAUAAAAAUUAUCUUUCAUAGUUGGCGACACAUAGGAGAAAUAAACCAGGAUAUUAAUAAGUAAAUAAUAAGCAGCAAUGUUUGAAAUUAUAAUAAUAUUAUAGCAUUCGUGGAAAUAAUAUAUUAAAAAUAUAUAAACAGUACGAACACACAGUGUUCAAUAAUAAUGCAACAAUUGUAAAAUGCAUUGUCCAAUCCCUUAUUUUCCUUAUUAUUGACGUAGAGCGAUCAAUAUCCAUCUUGUUUGAACGUUUUGAAAAUGCAUAAUGUAUCAACGUAGCAAUAAAUCAAGGGCUGUCGGUUUACGUAUAUCGAAGAGAUUAUAUUCAGAAAAUUUAUGGCUAGGUAUUAAACGUAAUUUACUGCAUUUAGUCAGUAACUUUUCUUACACGAUUAUUCUUGGAAUAGAUUUUAAAAUGUAUUAGGAUAUUGUUGGUAUCUUGCAUAUUAUUAUUAUAGAAAAAUGACAUACUAUGCUAAACGAAAGGUGAAAUAAUAAUAUAUGAAAAUAACUAACAAGAUAUUAAGUUUAUCCUGUAAAAAAUCUUAUACCGUUACGUAUUGUACAUACUUUGAUCCGCUAACGGUUCAUACUACUGUGUCCGUGUAUAAUUGGCUCAAUCUACUAGCCAACGUUAGGUUAGAGGAGCAAGCUGGAUAAAAUGGAUUAUAUUUCUUGUCUCCUUUUUAUGUAAAAUUUCAAUUAUAAAGU